rnacentral:rRNA from 1 species
GAUGAACGCUGGCGGCGUGCUUAACACAUGCAAGUCGAACGAGAAGUGAAGACGGAAACCUUCGGGCGGAAGGCUUUAUUUCGAGUGGCGGACGGGUGAGUAACGCGUGGGUAACCUGCCUCAUACAGGGGGAUAACAGUUGGAAACGACUGUUAAUACCGCAUAAGACCACAGCACCGCAUGGUGCGGGGGUAAAAACUCCGGUGGUAUGAGAUGGACCCGCGUUCGAUUAGCCAGUUGGCGGGGUAACGGCCCACCAAAGCGACGAUCGAUAGCCGAUCUGAGAGGAUGACCGGCCACAUUGGGACUGAGACACGGCCCAAACUCCUACGGGAGGCAGCAGUGGGGAAUAUUGCACAAUGGGGGAAACCCUGAUGCAGCGACGCCGCGUGAGUGAAGAAGUAUUUCGGUAUGUAAAGCUCUAUCAGCAGAGAAGAAAAUGACGGAACCUGAGUAAGAAGCCCCGGCUAACUACGU